CGGAUUGCAGCCUGCAACUCGGCUGCAUGAAGCUGGAAUCGCUAGUAAUCGCGGAUCAGAAUGCCGCGGUGAAUACGUUCCCGGGCCUUGUACACACCGCCCGUCACACCAUGAGAGUCGGGAACACCCGAAGUCCGUAGCCUAACAGCAAUGGGGGCGCGGCCGAAGGUGGGUUCGAUAAUUGGGGUGAAGUCGUAACAAGGUAGC
rnacentral:rRNA from 1 species